rnacentral:rRNA from 1 species
UACAGAGGUCCCAAGCGUUGUUCGGAUUCAUUGGGCGUAAAGGGUGCGUAGGUGGCGCCGUAAGUGGGGUGUGAAAUUUCGGAGCUUAACUCCGAAACUGCAUUCCAUACUGCGGUGCUUGAGGACUGGAGAGGAGACUGGAAUUUACGGUGUAGCAGUGAAAUGCGUAGAGAUCGUGAGGAAGACCAGUGGCGAAGGCGGGUCUCUGGACAGUUCCUGACACUGAGACACGAAGGCCAGGGGAGCAAACGGG